AGAGUUUGAUCCUGGCUCAGGAUGAACGCUAGCGAUAGGCUUAACACAUGCAAGUCGAGGGGCAGCACGGAAUAGCAAUAUUUUGGUGGCGACCGGCGCACGGGUGAGUAACACGUAUGCAACCUACCCAUAACUGUGGAAUAACCCGUCGAAAGGCGGACUAAUACCGCAUGACAAGCAUUUUCUGCAUGGAAGAUGUUUUAAAGAUUAAUCGGUUAUGGAUGGGCAUGCGUUCCAUUAGGUAGUUGGCGGGGCAACGGCCCACCAAGCCUUCGAUGGAUAGGGGUUCUGAGAGGAAGGUCCCCCACACUGGUACUGAGCCAGGAUCAAACUCUAA
rnacentral:rRNA from 1 species